rnacentral:rRNA from 1 species
GCCGAACGCUGGCGGCGUGCUUAACACCUGCAAGUCGAACGGCAAGUCCCUCCUUUUGUGGGGUGCUCGCGUGGCGAACGGGUGAGUAACCCGUGAGUAACCUGCCCUUGACUUUGUGAUACCUUCCGGACCCUGGGGCUAAUACCGUAUAUGAGCUCCUGCUGCAUUGUGGGGGUUGGACAUUUUCGGCGGUUGGGGAUGGACUCGCGGCUGAUCAGCUUGUUGGUGGGGUAGUGGCUUACCAAGGCUUUGACGGGUAGCCGGCCUGAGAGGGUGACCGGCCACAGUGGGACUGAGAUACGGCCCAGACUCCUACGGGAGGCAGCAGUGGGGAAUAUUGCACAAUGGGCGGAAGCCUGAUGCAGCAACGCCGCGUGCGGGAUGACGGCCUUCGGGUUGUAAACCGCUUUCGCCUGUGACGAAGCGAGAGUGACGGUAAUGGGUAAAGAAGCACCGGCUAACUAGGUG